rnacentral:tRNA from 1 species
CGGGCCGUAGUAUAAUGGUAGUACGCUUGCUUUGGGAGCAUGUAGCCCGGGUUCAAUCCCCGGCGGCCCGACCG